UCCGCUCGGCGCCGGGCGGCCGAGCGCAGGAAGCUCAGCGGAGUGCGCUGCGCCACCAGGGACGCGCCAGUCCAGCCUCUGUGGUUGAAAGCGAGCUAAGGCAGCGGGAGACGAGCGCACGGGCAACACCAGGAGCAGCUGGAGGAGGAUCGGUGGCGCGGGCUCUGCAGGUCGCUGUUGAGUUACCACCCCCUCCCCCCAAACACACCACCACCACCACCAACACAUUUCUGGGUCGGAGAAGUCUCUCUGUUUGGGGCAGUGCUGAUCUCUGGACAUGAGACUAUGAGCUGUCAGUUAGACGAGGACCACUACAAGCAAGAGGCCACACAGUGAUGCUCCAGCUGCCGGUCCCAGAUCUUUCACCAUCUCAGACCAGGAACCAGGAAGUUUACAGGAACGCUGUGACCUGACCUACAUGGACAGUUGCGAGAACAAAGGAUUCCGACACCAAGAAGUCUGCAACAACUAACCAUGCCCUUCCCUCACCUUGCCUUUAAAAAUGCUUUGCUAAAACCCUUCAGA